UCAUUAGGUGUGGUUCACAUCAAACAUGCUUUUAUUCAAUAAACGAUGAGCAAUAUCAGGAGCCUUAUUGUUUUCCUACAAACAUAAUACAUCCAAUAACAUUUAGUCCUGUCAAACAGUUUUAGAAGUUUUAUCUUGCGAAGUCAUAAGUUUUUGUUAAACAAUUCUGUAGCAAACACACAUUCUGAAAUUAUCCAUGACUGCAAUUUACAAGUAAAUUAUUUCAUAUGAAAUACAAAAGAUUACUAUCACUCCAAACACACCCCACAAUUUUUUUUUUUGCUAAAUCUAAAUUAAAUGACACUUCCUUCAAAAAAUCUAUAAGCCUACUAUUUAUGUUACAAUUUUUUUCCUUUUCUUGCACACUUUGUUGCUGCUUCUUCCAACACGUUUUUUACUUAGCUGUCGAUUGAGAUGAUUCAAUCUUUAAAAAGUCCUUAUUCUUACAAAUGAAGCAACCAAUUUCUUCUCAACAGCAGGCAUUUUUACAUUACUAAACCACAGCACGAAAACAAAAUCAAAACAAGCACGCAAUUUCACAGUUUUGUUUACUUUGAAGGUCUAGCGGAUACGUCAUAUCACGGAAAUACCCGAACGACCAAACUCGUUUUUCUUCUGUUGAGACGACCUGGUAUCUAAUGACCUUGCGCAUGCGCGUAAUUUACUUCGGCGUACUUCGGCCUACUUCGUGAACUAUCAUUUGUUUUUUUCCCCAUGCAUUCCGUGUUACCGUGUUUUGUUGCUGUUUCUUAAUUCGCAUAUAUAUGGAAUUGUUCAAGAGAUAUUCCUAGUGAUUUUAUAUUAAUUAUUGUUGAAAUUAAGUUUACUGCUUUUAAGAUUGAUAAAAUACCUGCUACAUGUAAUGAAAAAAUAGCUUAGUCUGGAAGUUGACCGUGGUCAGCCAUGUGUGGAAGAAGAAAGCAAGCAAUUUUUCGAAGUUUUAUACAAUCGGAAGAAUUUUGUGAGUCCAUGCGCAAGGGCCAUCUCCCUAAUUCUCGGAAGUUUAUCUUGUUUGUGGACAAGAAAAUGUCCCUAGAAACAUCAGACGUAGUCCAUUAUGAAGAUUAAUCCUACUGUAUAAAAAAAGCAUCAAGGAAACCCCAGAGUUGGAACUUUGAAGAAAGUGACAGAUACAAUUACUAAAAUUGUUGAAUUGUCAAAGCUGUUGGAUGAUUUGUACAUGCAGAUUUGUGUGGUGUUUCAAGAUUAUUUUUUUUUUUUUAAUUAUUGUGAUUAAACAAUUCUAAUAUGAAUAUUUUACAUUUAUAUUUAUUUAAAAUGUUGGCUUAUAUUAACAAUGCAUUUUGUAAAUAAAUAUUUAUAAAGGUAUAGCUCAUUUAUUUAUUUUAAUUUUUGAAAAUUUACCAGCACAUAAACAAAGGAACUAUGUGCUACGAUUAUGGGAGUAAAUAUAAUAUUUUUAACUAUGACAUUUUAUCAUAUUUAGAUAAAGAAUACCAUUUUUUAAUUGGGAAGAAGUCAGGGCUUAGUAUAUUCUAAAUGGCUCCUUCUGACUUCUUAUACAUUCAACAAAAUAAAGAGAUUUUAUGUAACUGGAUUUUCCACACAAAACCCUCAAUAUACACUGUACAUGAUUAAAAUUCCACCUCUAAAUUGGGUUUAUAAUAGAAAAUGGUAGAAAGUAAUUUAUUUGGUGUGAAUUGUAAAAUGGCCAUUAAGUAAAACAUGUAGAGGCUUAGAGUUAUGUUUUUGCUCCAAAAGAAAGCUAUAUAGUUAUUAUAAGCACAAAAAUUAAGAGUGCUAUGUAUUUAAUUGCAUUCUAAAAUAGCAUGACUUUACUGUAAUUAUACUGGUUACAAAUUACCCAGAGAAUUUCAUAAAUUAACAUGUACUACACCAUGGAAAAUAACUUUAUCUUUGUAAAUUUUACAAGUGCUGUAAACAUAACGGUAAAACAAUAUUUUUAUGCUACGGAGUUUCAGUAAUUUUUACAGAACUUUUGUAAAUUUGAGGAACAAUCUGUAUUUGAAUAUUACGAAGUUAUCGUAUAUUUACUGCAUUGGUUUUGAAAUUUACAAAUAAUCUUUAUUUGAAUUUCACAAUGUACUUGUAUAUUUACAGUAUUAAUUGUAAAAUUUACUAAGAAUACAUUUUUUAGUAUUACGAAGUACCGGUAUAUUUACGGCAUUGGUCGUGAAAUUUACGAAGAAUCCAUAUCUGAGAAUUACAAAGUACUAGUAUAUCUACGGCAUUGGUAGUGAAAUUUACGAAGAAUCCGUAUCUGAGUUUUACGAAGUACUAAUAUAUUUACGGCAUUGGUCGUGAAAUUUACGAAGAAUCCGUAUCUGAGUUUUACGAAGUACUAGUAUAUUUACGGCAUUGGUUGUGAAAUUUACGGAGAUUUAGUUUUUUUCCCUAAUGAAGUAACCGUAAAUUUACGAAGACCACCGGAGAAUUUUUUUCCGGUACUUUUCGUAAAUUUACGGUAAAAUUUUUUAACAGCACCCUUAGCCUCAAUUAUUUUUUCUUAACUGAAAGCAGGUUAGCUAAAGCCUGGGUGUCUUACUGCUAUCAUCGGCCACUGCACUGGAGGGGAAGAGUAAGCGGGCCCUACCGAUUCUCCUUCCCUUCCCCUACCCCUGUUGCGAGCAGAAGCUAUAAGGUUGUGACGCCAUGAUGGGUCCCAAGUUUUCAAAUAUCUUACACCUAUUGUAUUUAACUAGCGCGGUAAUUAUAAGCAGGUGGUGACUGGGUAAUUCUUCAAGCUAAAGCUAAUUAUUGUUUCCAGGAAUAGGCCGGUUUUCCUGAAACUUAACCCUUUUAUAUAUUUUUUUUUGUAUUGUCGAGCUUCGAGCAUGAUUUAUGAUUUUGAGUGGACGUAAACAAGGCACUUGGAUUGAUAAAAAUACCUUUAAUUAAUUUCUUACUUCAUCACUCAAACAAUAUUUUAUUAAAAAUUUGAUAAUAAUUUUACCAUUACAAUAUUUAAAGUUAUGUACAGAAAACUGCUAAAAUAGCACUAUUUUACACCUUAAAAUCCAAAUUUUUCCCGGGGGUGGACCCCUGGACCCACCGCUUUAUUAGGGGGGGGGGGGCAUGCCCCCCAUACACAAAUCCUGGCUACGCCACUGAUAUAGCCUCAUCAGUACCUUUAUAUUUUAUGUAAAACUAUCGCCCAUGUGCAUCAGACUGAAGACUUAGCUUCUUCCUAGACCUUCAUAAAACCAUCUUUUAUCACACCAUCUCUGCGACCAAGCUACAUUUCCCUAAUGUUCUUGAUUAUGGUUACUAGUCAUACCAUUUUACAAUUUGUUGCUUUAUUCUACUGGCACUACACUCCACAUACCACACACCCCAAUAAAUACAUUUUAUUUACAAUUUUACUGCACACAUUCAUGUUUCUUAUGUAAUAUUAUCCUCUUUCGAAGACAUUCACUUUUAUGAAUUUUCAACAAUUUCAAAAGCCCUAUUUUUGUACGAAUUUACACAUCUGAUUUUUUCAAAAUUAUAAUUUCUCAACAUUCGCUGUACCAAGUGACGAUUAAUUAUGCCGAAAAUGUGUUACUACGAACCUAAAAGCUUGUUUAUUCCACAUCAAUAUUACUGAUUACUACAUUUGCU